GAUGAACGCUGGCGGCGUGCCUAAUACAUGCAAGUCGAGCGAACGGACGAGAAGCUUGCUUCUCUGAUGUUAGCGGCGGACGGGUGAGUAACACGUGGAUAACCUACCUAUAAGACUGGGAUAACUUCGGGAAACCGUAGCUAAUACCGGAUAAUAUUUUGAACCGCAUGGUUCAAAAGUGAAAGACGGUCUUGCUGUCACUUAUAGAUGGAUCCGCGCUGCAUUAGCUAGUUGGUAAGGUAACGGCUUACCAAGGCAACGAUGCAUAGCCGACCUGAGAGGGUGAUCGGCCACACUGGAACUGAGACACGGUCCAGACUCCUACGGGAGGCAGCAGUAGGGAAUCUUCCGCAAUGGGCGAAAGCCUGACGGAGCAACGCCGCGUGAGUGAUGAAGGUCUUCGGAUCGUAAAACUCUGUUAUUAGGGAAGAACAUAUGUGUAAGUAACUGUGCACAUCUUGACGGUACCUAAUCAGAAAGCCACGGCGAACUACGU
rnacentral:rRNA from 1 species